rnacentral:lncRNA from 1 species
UCUAUUAUAAUAGAAUUUAGAAAGAUUGGGUUUAUCGGCCCAUCUCAUUUUAUUAAUACUAUCUGUAUUGUCAUAUUUUGUAGAGCUAGUGCCAGGACUUUCUUCAAAAUCACUAUUUAAAGUAGAAAUAUUUAAUUUACUGAAUUUACUAGAAAUGAUUUUUUCAAAAUCAGAAACAGAAGGUUCAAUUUUGAAAUUGUUUAAUUCAACAAGAGACUGUAUAGAAGAGGCAGUCUUAACAAUGGUACUUUUAUCAAGUAAAUCAGACUUAGUCUGAGUCUUAGUUUGGGAUAAUAUUUUGUCAAUUUUAUCAUGUAAAGAUAUAAUUUCCUCACCUAUAAUCGAA